rnacentral:rRNA from 1 species
UCNUAACAGGUUUCCGUAGGUGAACCUGCGGAAGGAUCAUU